rnacentral:lncRNA from 1 species
CCUGGUUCAUUUUUAAGUCAUGAAGUACUUAAAUGCUGUAAUGAAACGCAACCACGAGCUCUUGUCCUGUAGUUUCAAACAUCUCAUAUCAGUUUUAUUUAGAAAAUGUAUCAGAACUCAUCAUAUUAAGGUUCUGGAAUAUUUUUGUUAAUUUAAAAUCAAUAAAAUUGUGCUCAUCUUUGUAAAACCGCAGAAGUCUUGUUUUGUUUUUGUUUUUUAAUAGAAAAAACGUGUUGAAGUCUGUGCAUAAUCAUCCUCUGCCUCAUCGUAUUUGUUCAACAGGGAGAUAAAGUGAGAAGGGCGUGUGAUGAAGAGGAGGGGUUACAGAUUGGGAGGGUGUGGGUUGCAGACGGAGCAGUCGUGGGGUUGGCUGAAUCGUGAUAGUGACAGAUGUCCAAAGCAUCGCGAGGGGCACUCCUCAGUUGCACCACACCGCAGCACGGAGAGGAGGGCCGGAUUCAUCUGCACCAAAACCCUGCUUUACCACCCAGCCAGACUCUGGGAAGGAAAUCCGGUUCUCUUUACCUAGAAACACCAUGGGAGGCAAACUGAGCAAGAAAAGAAAAGGAUAUGAUAUUCCCCGUGGUCAGGAUAUUUUGCUGGUCUGCUGACACAUGCAACUCACAAACACCUAC